UUCUCACACUCACACCUCCCAUCCUGCCCCGUGUACUUCCACCAGAUCUACACAACUGGAACAUCAGAUAUUAGGAAAAAAUUCUGCCCUGGAAGACAGUUGGACUCAGAGGUCAGUGCCACUCCAGGAGCACCAGGAUGCACAAAACCCGAGGGCUGGAUCUUUGAAGAUCAACAUUGAAACAACUGAUGGUGCUACCCAGGGAACUGCUCAGCAAACUGGGAUAUUUAAAGCCAGCUGUCUGGAGACCCUGCUCUGCAUGCGCUGACCAGAAAAGAUCCAUUUUCCAGACACUUGCAAUAUCAUCCCUGAUUUUUUUCCAUGCCCUGUAAGCUCUGAAAAUGCAAAGGAUACCCAGGAAAGCUGCCAUGGUUCACUUGUGUGGGAUGAAAUGGCAGAGGAAAAGUUGGAAUCUGAAAAAUCUCUGCGGGUUAAUGAGGAGCAGUCACGUUGAAAUGUCCCUUAUGUACAUGACAAUUUAAGACACCACCUGUCUGGAGAAAAAUAUUAUGGGAUAUCAAUGUCCAGUGUCUGAAAAUCACAAAGGAACAGACAUUUUCAUGGAGACUGAAGAGCAAGAAGGAGUUUUAUGGAUGGUGAAAGUCUUAAAAAUGUGUUGGAUACCUAAACAGGCUACAAAGAGAAAAACUAUGGAAGAAACAAUCGGAAGAAACAAUCGGAAGAGAGUGUAAAAGAGAAAAAUUAAGGAAGAGAAAAAAUAAGAAACAAUUGGAAGAGAGUUUUUAAUUCCCAGCUACUUCAAACCAUCAUCCCAGGAACUAUCAGAGCACCUGGUUGACCAGCAACAG